rnacentral:tRNA from 1 species
AGCCCUGAGGUGAAUCCUUCAUGUCGAAUUGCAAAUUCGAAGACGCAGCUUCAAUCCUGCCGGGGCUU